rnacentral:rRNA from 1 species
GACAGAGGGGGCAAGCGUUGCUCGGAAUCACUGGGCGUAAAGGGCGCGUAGGCGGGAUGGCAAGUCAGACGUGAAAUCCCCCGGCUUAACCUGGGAACUGCGUCUGAUACUGGAAGGCUUGAGUAUGGGAGAGGGAUGUAGAAUUCCAGGUGUAGCGGUGAAAUGCGUAGAUAUCUGGAGGAAUACCGGUGGCGAAGGCGGCAUCCUGGACCAUUACUGACGCUGAGGCGCGAAAGCUAGGGGAGCAACGGGG